CCUUUCUUUUCCAUUCUUUUCCUUUCUUUUUUUUUUCCUCCUAUAUCAGCUAAUUAGACUUUGUCAACUUGGCUUCAGAGCACAUAAUUUUUUUGCAGUCUAGACCUACCCUCACUAUUAGCGGGUACAAUUUCUAAGCCAGAAAUACCAGCCUAUAUUUUUAGCUGGGACUGGCUCCCCUGCAUGAUUUGCCACAACUGACACUUAACGUAGCUGGAGUGGAGCGGCUGUGAAUCUACUUAGUGUUGGUCUUGCAAAAGUCAGUGGAAACAGCUGAUCCCCUUAAAAAGAGAACAGAAUCAGUGUUUCACUGCACAUUUCUGCCAGUGAAACUCCUCUGCCUCAUACUAGGAUAAACUGAAGUUAGGCAGUAGUGAAUCAGACCUAAUAUGUUUAGUACUUGUAUGCUAAAUUUAUGAGGCACCCAGUGACAUUUGCCUUAUGUAUAAUGGUAGCACUCCCAGCAGGCUGAUCUAAUCAUUCAUGAGGAAUUACAGUACAGUGUUGGAGUUUAUUUAAUGCUUAAUGUUCACAACAACCUCCUGCACUGAUUCUAAUCUGGUUACUGCACACAUUGUGAAGCAGAUCUCUGCAGAGGCGCAGCAGCAGAAGAGAUCAACCACAUCCCGUGCAGCGUGGCAUGUAUCAGCAAUGCAAGGUUGUGCUGUUUCUCUGACAAGCAGAGGAAGCUGGGUUGAUUCACACACCAGAGUGAUUCCUCUCACCAAGACGCUUAGGAAUGCACCAAAGGAAACCAGGCUUUCUCUGCAGGCUUCCUCUGAGCAACAGGAUUACUGCAAGGCAAAACCAGGCCUGCGGCUGGGCCCGAAGCCACAGCAGACACAGCAGCAGCACUAGGGCCUCAGGGUUAGGCCCAGAGAGCAAGGGCGGAUGAAGCUUUGUGCAGAGAAAAAAGGAAGAUCUGUUAAAAAUGGAUAGGUCACUGCCAUUUCUACCAGAAAUUAUCAAGAUUGCUCUCCACUGCAUUGGACUUUCCUAUUGCAAUUUUACCAGAGAAAAUUCCUUGAGAAAUCAGUGGAUCACUAUUGUAGGCGGGAGCUUUCAUCACCAUAUUGAGUAAGCAACAAUGUUCAUGUCAAUCUCCUGCCUUUGGAUCAUGGAAGAAGGCAUGUGCAGAAUAAGGAUGGAUUGCCUUAGUCCUUCACCAUUAAGAGAAACAAACUAGUCUCAUGCAGUUUGGGAUGUAUGGGCAUCUGUCCCUUGCUCCUGCUGUCUUCUCAGUCUCCUCUGCCAUCUCCAGCAGGAAAGACCAUAAAAGCCUACACGCUCAGCAGGAAAUAAGACUCAAAGGCAUUUCCUACGCGCCUUCAUGUUACCCUUUCGUCUGCUCCCAAAAAACAGCAAUUGUUUAGCUUUUUUCUACUGCUGUGAUUCAACUUAGAGAUGAGUGCGUUUCAGGUCAAUAUCUGUAUACAGGACAAGAUCCCCCACUUUAUAUGGGGAAAAAGUCCUGGAAGAGGGAAUUAAAAGAUUUUCUGAGGUUUCCUGUACAGCAGUUUUCCUGGGUGGUCUUUCUGAAGAGAGGUGAUGGGGGACCAAGUAAUUUGGAGGCUGCAACCGUCUCCUUCUCUUGCAAAGCACAAGACUCACUAGGAUGUGGAAAACUUUUCCUAAUCAAGCCAAGCAUCAUCUUCUAGAUAUAGCUCUUGUUUCUGAUGCCUGUUUUCAUCAAACUGCAUGGUUCUACAUACCAUCACUUCCCUUGCAACAGUGCUCUCUAUCACAUUUACUGGAUUUUUUUUUCCCUCCUACUUUAUCAUGCUUAUCCCAUCAUUCCUAGAUAAGUAAUUCCACUCUUCAUUGGGUGUUAAUCUUUUGCAAAUAUUUACGUACACCUCUCCUCAUACCAUCACUCAGCCAGUCCCUUCAAACUUUUCUCUGAAACCCACCACAACUCUUGUAGCUGCUGUUACUCCUCUUUUCUAUGGUCACUCACUACCCUUUAGAUAACAGCCUCCACUGUUGGCCACUAUACACAUUUCUCUUUAAAACACAGAGUUUUUCUUAUAGACCUGUCCUAUCUCUGUCCUUUUUUUCCAUAA